GAUGAACGCUGGCGGCGUGCCUAAUGCAUGCAAGUCGAGCGAACGGACGAGAAGCUUGCUUCUCUGAUGUUAGCGGCGGACGGGUGAGUAACACGUGGAUAACCUACCUAUAAGACUGGGAUAACUUCGGGAAACCGGAGCUAAUACCGGAUAAUAUUUUGAACCGCAUGGUUCAAAAGUGAAAGACGGUCUUGCUGUCACUUAUAGAUGGAUCCGCGCUGCAUUAGCUAGUUGGUAAGGUAACGGCUUACCAAGGCAACGAUGCAUAGCCGACCUGAGAGGGUGAUCGGCCACACUGGAACUGAGACACGGUCCAGACUCCUACGGGAGGCAGCAGUAGGGAAUCUUCCGCAAUGGGCGAAAGCCUGACGGAGCAACGCCGCGUGAGUGAUGAAGGUCUUCGGAUCGUAAAACUCUGUUAUUAGGGAAGAACAUAUGUGUAAGUAACUGUGCACAUCUUGACGGUACCUAAUCAGAAAGCCACGGCUAACUACGUGCCAGCAGCCGCGGUAAUACGUAGGUGGCAAGCGUUAUCCGGAAUUAUUGGGCGUAAAGCGCGCGUAGGCGGUUUUUUAAGUCUGAUGUGAAAGCCCACGGCUCAACCGUGGAGGGUCAUUGGAAACUGGAAAACUUGAGUGCAGAAGAGGAAAGUGGAAUUCCAUGUGUAGCGGUGAAAUGCGCAGAGAUAUGGAGGAACACCAGUGGCGAAGGCGACUUUCUGGUCUGUAACUGACGCUGAUGUGCGAAAGCGUGGGGAUCAAACAGGAUUAGAUACCCUGGUAGUCCACGCCGUAAACGAUGAGUGCUAAGUGUUAGGGGGUUUCCGCCCCUUAGUGCUGCAGCUAACGCAUUAAGCACUCCGCCUGGGGAGUACGACCGCAGGGUUGAAACUCAAAGGAAUUGACGGGGACCCGCACAAGCGGUGGAGCAUGUGGUUUAAUUCGAAGCAACGCGAAGAACCUUACCAAAUCUUGACAUCCUUUGACAACUCUAGAGAUAGAGCUUUCCCCUUCGGGGGACAAAGUGACAGGUGGUGCAUGGUUGUCGUCAGCUCGUGUCGUGAGAUGUUGGGUUAAGUCCCGCAACGAGCGCAACCCUUAAGCUUAGUUGCCAUCAUUAAGUUGGGCACUCUAAGUUGACUGCCGGUGACAAACCGGAGGAAGGUGGGGAUGACGUCAAAUCAUCAUGCCCCUUAUGAUUUGGGCUACACACGUGCUACAAUGGACAAUACAAAGGGCAGCGAAACCGCGAGGUCAAGCAAAUCCCAUAAAGUUGUUCUCAGUUCGGAUUGUAGUCUGCAACUCGACUACAUGAAGCUGGAAUCGCUAGUAAUCGUAGAUCAGCAUGCUACGGUGAAUACGUUCCCGGGUCU
rnacentral:rRNA from 1 species